rnacentral:rRNA from 1 species
AGAUAAGCCAUGCAUGUCUAAGUAUAAGCAAUAUACCGUGAAACUGCGAAUGGCUCAUUAAAUCAGUUAUCGUUUAUUUGAUAGUACCUUACUACAUGGAUAACCGUGGUAAUUCUAGAGCUAAUACAUGCUAAAAACCCCAACUUCGGGAGGGGUGUAUUUAUUAGAUAAAAAACCAAUGCCCUUCGGGGCUCCUUGGUGAUUCAUAAUAACUUAACGGAUCGCAUGGCCUUGCGCCGGCGACGGUUCAUUCAAAUUUCUGCCCUAUCAACUUUCGAUGGUAAGGUAUUGGCUUACCAUGGUUUCAACGGGUAACGGGGAAUUAGGGUUCGAUUCCGGAGAGGGAGCCUGAGAAACGGCUACCACAUCCAAGGAAGGCAGCAGGCGCGCAAAUUACCCAAUCCCGACACGGGGAGGUAGUGACAAUAAAUACUGAUACAGGGCUCUUUUGGGUCUUGUAAUCGGAAUGAGUACAAUUUAAACCCCUUAACGAGGAACAAUUGGAGGGCAAGUCUGGUGCCAGCAGCCGCGGUAAUUCCAGCUCCAAUAGCGUAUAUUAAAGUUGUUGCAGUUAAAAAGCUCGUAGUUGAACCUUGGGCCUGGCUGGCCGGUCCGCCUCACCGCGUGUACUGGUCCGGCCGGGCCUUUCCUUCUGGAGAGCCCCAUGCCCUUCACUGGGCGUGCGGGGGAACCAGGACUUUUACUUUGAAAAAAUUAGAGUGUUCAAAGCAGGCCUUUGCUCGAAUACGUUAGCAUGGAAUAAUAGAAUAGGACGUGCGGUCCUAUUUUGUUGGUUUCUAGGACCGCCGUAAUGAUUAAUAGGGAUAGUCGGGGGCAUCAGUAUUCAAUUGUCAGAGGUGAAAUUCUUGGAUUUAUUGAAGACUAACUACUGCGAAAGCAUUUGCCAAGGAUGUUUUCAUUAAUCAGUGAACGAAAGUUAGGGGAUCGAAGACGAUCAGAUACCGUCGUAGUCUUAACCGUAAACUAUGCCGACUAGGGAUCGGGCGAUGUUUCUAUCUUGACUCGCUCGGCACCUUACGAGAAAUCAAAGUUUUUGGGUUUGGGGGGAGUAUGGUCGCAAGCUGAACUAG